UACGUAGGGGGCUAGCGUUGUCCGGAAUCAUUGGGCGUAAAGCGCGUGUAGGCGGUCCGAUAAGUCCGCUGUGAAAGUCGAGGGCUCAACCCUCGAAUGCCGGUGGAUACUGUCGGGCUUGAGUACGGGAGAGGCGAGUGGAAUUCCUGGUGUAGCGGUGAAAUGCGCAGAUAUCAGGAGGAACACCGAUUGCGAAGGCAGCUCGCUGGGCUAACACUGACGCUCAGGCACGAAAGCGUGGGGAGCAAACAGG
rnacentral:rRNA from 1 species